rnacentral:rRNA from 1 species
UACAGAGGUCCCGAGCGUUGUUCGGAUUCACUGGGCGUAAAGGGUGCGUAGGUGGCUUGAAAAGUUUGAUGUGAAAGCUCAGGGCUUAACCCUGAAAUGGCAUUGAAAACUGUCGGGCUGGAGGUUUGGAGGGGGGACUGGAAUUCUUGGUGUAGCAGUGAAAUGCGUAGAUAUCAAGAGGAAUACCAGUGGCGAAGGCGAGUCCCUGGACAACACCUGACACUGAGGCACGAAAGCUAGGGGAGCAAACAGG